AUGCGCCACCUCACUUCCAUUGCACCCAUUUGAAUUCAUGAGAAGGAACUUCUCAUGAAUUUUUUUUCUCACGCCAAGCCCUCUCCACGCCCCACUUUAAUGUGCUAAUUGAAUGGAUAAGGAUGAUUGGUUGGCCAUUCAAAUUCAAAAUAAAGUUUGAAUUUGAAUGGACAAUCAAUCUUUGCGCCUUAUCCCUUUUUUAACGCCCCAUUUAUUACAUGAGAAAAAUAUUUCUCAUGAAAUCACUCCAUGCACAAUUUAAUCCAUGCCUCAUGCUUUUAGUGGAUAAGGGAUGAGUUGGUGUCCAUUUGAAUUCAAAUUUGAUUUGAAUUCAAAUGUGUAAUUACUCAUCUUUAUCCUUUCUUUUGGAUAAGAUGUUUGACGUUGU
rnacentral:lncRNA from 1 species